UUUUUGGUUGUUUGCUUUUCUCAAACUUUGGUACCCUUGACUUUGGUCUAUAGAUAAUAUUGAAAUGUCAUCCUGGUGGAAUUUUCCUUUAAUGAGUAGGAAGUAUCCUUCCCUAUUGUCUGAUUUGUUUUGGUUUGAUGUUUAUUUUGUCAGAUAUCAGAUAUUUGGUUCAAAUAUCUUUUCUAAUCACUUUCUUAACAUGAGGUUGUGUCUAUCCUUUUUUGCUUUUGCAGCAGAAUGAAAAUCUUAAAAGAUGUGGAUUAGUGAUCAUAUAUAGACAUGGAAAUUUAGUUGCUGUACAGAAACUGGUAGAUGGAGGAUUCUUUAAGCCACUACUUAAGACUUAAAAGGGUUUUUAAAUCUCUUGAUUCAGUAGAAUCACUCAUUCCUUGGUGUUGGGUUGAUGGUACAUUGGAAGACAUCAUUCACAGAAGUCUUUGGUAGUACUCUACUCAAAUGUUGUAGCAUUGAGCCAAGCAAAGCAACAAUAAUCAAUAUGUUUGAAUCUGAGAAUUGAUUGUUGAAUACAUAAUCCAGAAACUAGUGGCACUGUUUCUUUUUUUGAAUGUAAAUUUCCCAAAUUAAACUUUCUAUUUUAUGAAUGCAAGAAGUGGUCACAAGGAAAAGUAGAGUAAUUGUUUCAUUGUAGUUAGGUGGUAAAUUGAGGUAGGUGCUACAGAAACUUCUGGUACACUGCAACCAUUCAUUUCAUCUACCAAGUUGGUACUUGCAUGUUUGUUGCUUUAUGGAUAACAAUUGGUGAGAUGUUUUAUGCUUUUCUGAUAACAUAAAACACAUGUAAUGAUGCCUACUCUCUACAUUUCUGUUCAACAUCAUAUUAGACACUCAAAGGUAAGCAAAGAAGAAAAGAGAAAUGACAGACUUGUAGAUUUGGAAGGAAGGUAAACAACACAUAACACUGGCCACAGAAGACAUGAUUGUCUAUGGAGUGGGUUGCAGAGACUCAUCACCACCAAGACAUUGAUACUGACAAAUGGUUACGGAAAGAUUCUCUCUGACUGUGAUUUAUCUCCAUUUUCUUAACAUUUAUGAGUGUGAAUGUGUGCACAUGAGCCACAACACACUCAUGGAGAUAAGUGGACAAUGUCUUUUUGGUCCUCACCUUUUUGGUUUUUCAAGACAGGUUUCUCUGUGUAGUAUUGGCUGUCCUGGAACUCACUCUGUAGAUCAGGUUGGCUUCAAACUCAGAAAUCUGUCUGCCUUUGCCUCUCAAGUGCUGGGAUUAAAGGCGUGCACCACCACCGUCCGGUGAGAUAGGAUGUCUUGUGUGCUUAUUUGGAAACCAUAUCACCAAGCCUGAAAGGUUCUGAGGAGCCUUUUGUCUCUGUCUCAUAUAGGUGCCUCUGGGAUAACAGAUAUGUGGUAUCUGCUUUUCUGGGUUCUGAAGAUGCAAAUUUCUGUUCUUAUAUUUAGGCAUCAAGUGCUUUGUCACUGAGCCCCAUUUUCACCCCAAUAAUUUCUCUUGUGGAGAGCAAGAAACUGACCCUUCAGCUUGCAAGUAGUGGCAAAAUAGUCAGCAUGUUUACCACAGUCCCCAAGAAGAAUGAUUUCAUAAUUCAAAUUCAAGAGAAGAUAAAUCUGGAGUGAUCAGUAAAACACACCAUUCUUUGAAGAGUGGACAUAUAUAAUAUGAAAUAAAACAGACAAUUCUGAACUAGAUUCAAACCAUAUCUUUCUUAAGGGAGUAAAGGCAUUUCAGGAGGAUAGAUUUUUCAAUGAAUAGUUUUCAAUAGCCAUAUAAAAACAUUUCUAAAUCAGAUGUAAACACAACAUUUUCCUCUACAAAAUGAGCCAAAAAUGGGAUUAACAAAUUAUAAGAAGACAAAGAGAAGUUAUAAACACUCUUAACUUUGGCGAGGAUGUUUUAGAUAUGCACCAAAAGUGGUUUUAUGAGAAAAAGUUAUGCUAUGUGAUUACCAGAAUGAAGAUAAGCUACAGACUGAGAGAACAUUGUAAAUGAUUUCUGAUAAGUACCUUGUAACUUAAGUAACAACAUUUAAAGCUUAAUAGGCAAAUCUGGGUAGGAAGUGUGUAUCAUAAUCCCAGUACUGCUAAGACAGGAUGGGGUACAUACUUGGGGGCUUGACUCGAUUGUGAGCUUAGUCAAAUGUAUUAACUAGGCAAGUGAAAUGUCUCUUCUCAUAAACCUUCUUUAGUGAUGCAUGCAGAAUAAUAUUCAACGUUCAUCUCUAGUCUCUCUCACAUACACAUGCAUCACACACAUCACACACACACACAUCACACAUACACACACAUAUCAUACCCAUACUCACACAUAUCACACACUCACACCCCACUAACACAUAUACAUGCACAACAAACACAUUCACAUCACAUAUAUACCAUGGGCAAGUUUUCUAAAUACGUCACCAACUAAAUAAAAUACAUAUACGUAGAUAAUUGUACAGAAGAUGAUCAUUAGUGUGCGUCAUUAGAAAAUUGCAAUGAAGGCAGUGCAAUACCAAUAUAGACCUAUCAGAAUGGCUAAUUUCUCAAACAGUCCAAAUU
rnacentral:lncRNA from 1 species